rnacentral:rRNA from 1 species
CCCUUAGAUGUUCUGGGCCGCACGCGUGCUACACUGAGUGGAUCAGCGGGUCAGGUUGCGCGAAAGUGUUUCCUAAUCUUUAAAUCCGCUCGUGAUGGGGAUUGACGGUUGCAAUUUUCCGUCAUAAACGAGGAAUACCUUGUAAGCGCGGGUCAUCAUCCCGCGCUGAAUACGUCCCUGCCCUUUGUACACACCGCCCGUCGCUCCUACCGAUUGAGUGGUCCGGUGAGGCUUUGGGAUCUGAGCGGAAAGAGCGUUUCGCUGUUUCUGCCCGGAAAACUCAGUCGAACCUUAUCAUUUAGAGGAAGGAGAAGUCGUAACA